GGAGGAUUAAAGGGCGCGUCGUGCCUUGGGGCGGGGAGAAUGGAGCUGACUGAGGGAUGUGGAGGGUGGAGAAGUUGAGGAGAAGCGGUUGGGCUGCGCUGAGCUGAGGCCUAUAUGCAUGCAAACAAGGAAGUAACAGCCCGUGCCUGGUUUAUGUCAGCUUCAAUCAGAAGAUCUACAUCUACUGGGAUGUGCAGCUGGAGAGGAUGGAGUCCACCAACCUGUUAAAAAUCCUCGAGAAUGACCCACAAUUUGACAGUCUGCUGCAGGAGCUGGGUGUGGGUACUGAAAGUGGUGGAAGAGCAUUUCGGGACAUACCUGAGAUGUUUGGUCCUAUGAGUUUUUGUUCCCAUCUUCAAGUUAACACAAAUCUGAACCCAUUCUUAAGUGGUCCAGCUUAACCGUUUUAUUCUGAAUGUUGUUCAUAUGUGAGCAGUCGCUGGCUGUGACCCAAGUUCCUGAUUGUCUGCAGAGCAAAGCCUGAGCAUGUUACUGUCUUAUCAUGAGCCCAUGUCUUAACCAGCUCACGACAGGCUCUCACUUAUAUACUCAAGGCAUCUCUUUCUGUAGACACUGUAUUUCCUUACAAGAAUGUCAGAACUUUUAACUACACCGUGAUUCGAAGAAAUCAAUGAAUAGAAACUUAAUAGCACAGUUUUUGUUACCAUAAGCAAGGUAUUCUUUACUGGUAGCACCGGGGUAGCAUUGUGAUAACUCUCCAAGAGUAUUCCACUAGUUGAUCAUUCAUGAACAGGUCAUAUUUUCACAUGUAUUACAUGGUAUUUACAAUCCCAGAUUCAUUAUUGUAUCAACUCCCAAUGUUUGUCCAACAGACAUAGGCGUAUUUGGUGAUCUUCAAUGUUCCUUCUUUUGCAUGGUGAUGCUUUGAUGAAGUUUCUGAAUUACAUUAUCAGUUUUUAAAGAUUUCUCACAUAAAUUUUCUCGACACAACAAUAUUUCAUCAAGGGUGGGCAGGGAAGCGAGAACAGCCUUCAUCUGCAGGGAUCUAGGAAACAACGAUAUCCCUGUGUCUCAGUUUGAUCAGCUUGCAGCUUGUGAGCUCCCUGGGGCUUGUGAGAAAUGAAUCUGUGUUAAGGAUUCUACUUCUCCAGAUCUUUUCAACUGCUGUGUCUGCAUGACGUGGAUCUGUUUUCAGGGCAGCCAAACACAAAACACAUGCGGCAGCCACCGAGAACUGCGCCAAUACUGGCUGAGGACAGCACCAGGGAAAGGGUUGGGUCUGCCCCGGGGCCGUCGCUUCUCUUGCCAUUGGUUUUGUCCUCCAGUCAGUCAUGUGAAGCACGAAUGAUGGGAAAAGGGUGGGACUAGGAACUGGAACUCAGCAGCUGAUGAUUUUGCUGAAGAGCUAAGCAUAACUUUUGAACCAAGGGAGCCUUAAAUACAGCACGUGUCACCUCAGAGGCCUUGGCAUGAUAGGGGAGUUCCACUCUCCUCACUUCAUAGGUGGGAAAAUGAAGCUACAGAGGAGAGAAAUAAUUUCCUUGAUGUCACCUGGCAGUUUAAAGCAGAAAACUAAGGCAUGAGUAUCCCAUGUACCAACUUCCUAGGUCCUGUGUGACUUGAACUGGUAGUUGGUCCAGGGGAGCUGAUCUGCUGACCAAACUUCUGAUGCAGUCCAGGACAUUCCCAUUGGUUCUUAAGCGCAACUGUUGAAGUCUAGUGAAUACGAGAGCCUCUAUUUUAACGUAAACACUUUUGUGUAAUUUAGAUAGCAAAGAAUUGAGAUUACCAAUAGAAAUGGAACCAAAUGUGUGAUAAACUCCACAGCCAAUUUCUGUCUCCCAGGUGAGAAAUGUGUGUCAGUUGCUUACUUUGCAAUUACAAUUUGUUGUGAAAAAUG